AGGAUAUAUGGUAUAUGGCUGCUAAAUCUAAUCUUACAGCUGUGACAACUUACUGAUGUUGAUGAAAUUCUCGCUGAACAAGAUUGUGUGUGUUAGUGUGUUUCCACUCUGAUAUUCGCUUCCAUCCACCAAGAAGACCGCUUAGAGCGCAGAUUCGAGUAACUUUAUAGACUGUGGCAAAAGCUCUGUAAGCUGCCAGUAGUAACGAAACCUAUUACCAUUACUUCUAACU